rnacentral:lncRNA from 1 species
GUCAAGACUUACUCAAGACAUAUUCUGGACCCUCUGGAGAAGGAACUCGAGUUUUUAAGAUGGUCAAGUCACCCAGCUCCAAAGGUGCGGGGAGGGGCCGGCACUUUGCGUUGGGGAGAAGCGAAAGGUCUAUGUGAAGGGUCAGCAUGGAAGCUUCUUGUGUAAGAGACCAAAUGUUCUAUUUUUUGGGCACUGUUUCACAGUAUCUUUACACUACUUGAGGCUGCGGUGCUGUGGGCACUCAACAAAUGGUCUUGGCCAACUGACUCACUUCUGCUUUUCAGUUUGCUGACAUUCUUUUGGAUUUUGGGUUGGCUUAUGUUGGUCAUUGGUCUGGCUAUCUAUCUGUGGAUCCGUGGAUCUUCAACAGGGCCGUUCUGAGUUAUUGUAUUUAAUGCCCUUAAUUUAUUUCUUGAAGCUUAUUAGAGAAAACAAGGAAAAUAUGAAAAAGUAAAAUAAUGCAUAAGUCAAUUAUUUCACUCGAAGACCAUCAUUGGGUAUUUUUUUAUAUAUUUCUUGUGUCUGUGCAUUUUAAAAGCAGGGUUGUGAUCUAAAAUCCAACUGUUUACAUGAUUUUAUAUUUUGGUUUGUUUCCUGAUAUUUUAGGCUAAAGAAUUUAUAAACUUUUUGUUAAAUUCAACUUAAUGGAUC